rnacentral:ncRNA from 10 species
ACACAACAUGAAGAGUAACUGAAUUAGGUUCACCAACCUGCAAAUGUAAGGUGGUUUCCUCAAGGGCAUGUGACCGUAAGGUAAUAUACAUGCCUCCU